UUGGUCACAAGUUCAAACUGAUAGAGGCCAAAAGGAGAAUUACUUUUGCAAUUUUUGAUUCUGUGAAAUUACCAAAAUGCCCUUCUUCAAAUCUGAUAUAUUCCUCUUCUUUCUUUCUCUUUAUCAGAUCCGUGUGUGCUGGUCGGUGGAGAGAGAGCUUGAGGAUUUUCUAGAAUAUUCGAACCCUCAUCCGGACUUCUAUCCUCCGCCAUCAGCUCUGUCACUCUACUGGUCGCCGGUGACUCCAUAAACGCCGGAGUCUUCACCGUGGGAAAGGAUAAAUGGGCUGUCUGUAGCUUGUGGUUAUGAGCUCGCCGGCGUGCUUGCCGUUGCUGUUGUCUCAUCCGUCCUUGAUCAACAAAAACGUGACGUCUUCCUCCUCCUCUGUUCCAGAUCGAUUUUUUUUCCUUUUCUUCAUCAUUGGCGUGGCUGUGCAGCGAUCUUCCUCUCUUUCACUGUGCAGACGAACAUUCUCUUCCCCCUCUUGGUUUGCGUGUUGUUAGUUUAUCCAAGGGUGUGUGGAAGAACAGGACCUUGAAAAAGAAUUAAAGGAAGAAUAUCUUUGGGAAUUUGGAACUCCGACGAAUUUGUUAGCUGACGCUGAUCCUACCAUCGACCUCUAAAGGGCAACUAGCUACAGUGGGUGAACCUUUUUGAUUGGUAUUAUUGCUUUAAUGUAAAUAUAGAAAUUGUAUGUCUUUUGAUUUGAAAGAAAGAGUAGAUGCUCCACAUAGGUUAUUGAUAAACCUUAUUUUUGGUCUGUAUAUUGGUUGCUGGCUGGAAGGAGCUACGCUCCUGAUUUAUACUAUUAUCUGUAAAAUUUUUAUUAUAGAAUUUUCGGGAGAUCCUAGUUACAGGGGAGGUUCUGCUGAAAUUUCUACUAAAAAAAAAAGUCGACACUUUCUUAUGAUAAUGAGUUUAAAGGAGUUAUUUU